AUCUAUCCUGUUUGGGAUAACAUAAAAUCAAGCCUGGCCACCACCCGAUAGGCAUCCACCCCUGGGGUAACCCCUAGCUUCCUGGACCCCACUGCUAGCUGACUAGGCGGGUGCUGAAGAAACUGGUGCAGAAGACAUGGGCUGACCCCACUGUUGUGAUGAACUGGCAGCACGGCGAGGACACUGCCUCCACAUGUGUCCAAACCCUCUAUACUUAUAAUAGCUCCCCAGGUGCUGGAGAAUGGGACUGAACGGAACCCCUCACACCGGAGUGAGUUGCUGAUAUGCACUCGGCACGGAAGAACCCUGAACAGACAGGGCAUGCGAAGAACUCGAAGCUGGAAGGCGAUGAGUGAGGGAUGGCCCUACAGCAUUCUGUCCUUCCCUUCUUGCAUUCAUUAUCACAAUGUCAGCAUUGCUGCUUUCCCUUUUUGAAUCAUCUCUAGACAUUACAUUUCCUCCUGUUUUUUUCUGUUGUUCUGUUCAGACAUUGUAUUUCCACAAUGUCUUUUGUAGGUUGAUCAUGGUUUUGAAUAACAAUCAAAGUUUGUUUUAUGAUCUUCCCCUGCCUCUUUUUCCUUUUCCUCUGCCUUCUCCCCCUUUCCUCUCCUUCACCUUCUUCCACUUGAUCUUGCUUCUUCUACUCUGUUACAUUAUACUAGCAAUCCGUUGAGUCAUGUCCAAAUCUCAGACAUUCAUUACAAAAGCUAGGUUUCCAAUCAUACUCAAUGUCUUGAAUCAUUUGGCCAUAAGGAGCUUCUACUUCAAUUUGAUCAGGGAUUUUAUGAGCAGCAUCCACUUCUACUAAUACUCUAGCAUAGGAAAUUUUCUCAUAAUGAGCAGUAAAUCGAUCAGUGUUUAAUGGCUUACCAAUAGCACUAGCCAUCUUACUUAGUGAUUUAGUAGACCAAAAUCCCAUCGGCUGCCCUGGGAACCUCACUCACACUGGAAUUGUGCUUAGCACAUCUUUGUUGAAAGUUAAGUCAAUUUCCCAGACUCUAAGCACCAUAGGCUUGUUUCUGAAUGUGUAAGGUCCAGACUGCAGUACUAGAUCCCUACCCUCUACGGAAUUAAAUAAAAAAAUACAGUACCCAUCAGCAUGCAUAAGGAUCUUAGGCUUUGUAACAAAAUUGCACACAUUAAGCACAUAAUUCUCCAUAGCCUUUUCAUACGGAUUUUAUCCAAUCACAUAUCCUAUCAGAGCAGUUUUCCAAUAUUUCUCUUGUGAUUUCAAAUCAUCUGCACAUAGUUUAACCACUUUCUUACCUUCUCUAUCAACUGGAGGCACAUAUGAAAGUGAUUUACCCAUUUGUAAGCUACGACUUCCACGAAUAACAUCAACUGCUGUAGGCGUAGUCUUCUCCGAUCCACUAGCUUCUGAAUACUGGAGUUUGUUGAAUUCAAUUGUUCUUCCAUUUUCAUUGCCUUUAACUGGAUUUCAUCCCUGUGGUGGAAAAUUACCAAAGGUUAGAGGUGAUAAUUCCUUCUGAACGCCAUUCUCUAGAGUAAUUAGCUUCUCCUUCUACAGAACAGUGCCAUGCAAUAUUUUCUGGUGACGUACCAUUUACUCGAGUGACAAUCGCAAACCUUGCAAUUGUGCGCCGAGCGUAACUGUAAAUCGUCAGAGCGGUUACUUUCUUUUCGAGCUUAAUCCAAACAAACAACUUCCUUGGCCUUUUUUUUAACUCAAACCCAAUUCUCUCAAUUUUCACUUCACACUUAGGAGAUUUAGGUUCUUCCAAGAUAGGGUUUCCACAUAGCUUGGCAAGGUAACUAAUUUCCCUUUAUCCUUAGCUUAAAUACAUGUAUAUUAGGUAGAUUAAAC
rnacentral:lncRNA from 1 species